rnacentral:rRNA from 1 species
AGAGUUUGAUCCUGGCUCAGGACGAACGCUGGCGGCGUGCUUAACACAUGCAAGUCGAACGGAAAGGCCCUUCGGGGUACUCGAGUGGCGAACGGGUGAGUAACACGUGGGUGAUCUGCCCUGCACUUUGGGAUAAGCCUGGGAAACUGGGUCUAAUACCGAAUAUGACCACGCUCUUCAUGGGGUGUGGUGGAAAGCUUUUGCGGUGUGGGAUGGGCCCGCGGCCUAUCAGCUUGUUGGUGGGGUAAUGGCCUACCAAGGCGACGACGGGUAGCCGGCCUGAGAGGGUGACCGGCCACACUGGGACUGAGAUACGGCCCAGACUCCUACGGGAGGCAGCAGUGGGGAAUAUUGCACAAUGGGCGCAAGCCUGAUGCAGCGACGCCGCGUGAGGGAUGACGGCCUUCGGGUUGUAAACCUCUUUCACCAGGGACGAAGCGCAAGUGACGGUACCUGGAGAAGAAGCACCGGCCAACUACGUGCCAGCAGCCGCGGUAAUACGUAGGGUGCGAGCGUUGUCCGGAAUUACUGGGCGUAAAGAGCUCGUAGGUGGUUUGUCGCGUUGUUCGUGAAAACUCACAGCUUAACUGUGGGCGUGCGGGCGAUACGGGCAGACUAGAGUACUGCAGGGGAGACUGGAAUUCCUGAUGUAGCGGUGGAAUGCGCAGAUAUCAGGAGGAACACCGGUGGCGAAGGCGGGUCUCUGGGCAGUAACUGACGCUGAGGAGCGAAAGCGUGGGGAGCGAACAGGAUUAGAUACCCUGGUAGUCCAA